AUUGAACGCUGGCGGCAGGCCUAACACAUGCAAGUCGAACGAGUGGCGGACGGGUGAGUAAUGUCUGGGAAACUGCCUGAUGGCGGGGGAUAACUACUGGAAACGGUAGCUAAUACCGCAUACCAUCGGAUGUGCCCAGAUGGGAUUAGCUAGUAGGUGGGGUAACGGCUCACCUGGGCGACGAUCACUAGCUGGUCUGAGAGGAUGACCAGCGACCCUGGAACUGGGACACGGUCCAGACGCCUACGUGAGGCAGCAGUGGGGAAUAUUGCACAACGGGCGCAAGCCUGAUGCAGCCAUGCCGAGUGUAUGAAGAAGGCCCUCGGGUUGUAAAGUACUUUCAGCGGGGAGGCGUUACCCGCAGAAGAAGCACCGGCUAACUCCGUGCCAGCCGCCGCGGUAAUAC
rnacentral:rRNA from 1 species